UCACCUCCACAGGAUGAGUCUAAAUAGGGACACGGUGGCAAUCAAUUCAGUGAGCUCAUUGUUGCUGUCCCCUGUCACAGGCUGCAUUUAGGAGGCACUUGAGGAGGCCAUCAAUCUGUCACCAGGAAGGGGAGAGGCAGGGGGACAAAGGGAGGUAAUUGGAAAUCAGCGUCACUGGGGAUGUUUCCUCCAGCUGGAAGUGUCGCUAGAGAAAUAUGGAGCGGAGCCAUCCCCAAGAAAUGCUCAGGGACUCGACUAAAAACUGGCUUCCUUGAUCCUUUUCUCUGAGGCCCACAGCCAAGCCUUGACCACACUGUGUGGAGGAGAGCUGUGGCCUGUCUCAUGGACGACUCCGUGGGAGUAUUUUCCCUGGAUCUGGGGCUUUUUCACAUGCUUGGGAAGUCACUGUGUGAGAAGAGCUGAGCACACAGAGCUCUGCACUCCCCUGUGGGGCUGGAAGGGCAGGUGGGAGCCACAGCCGGCUGGGGGCCGUGAGCCUGACUGUGCAGACUCUGCUGUCGGUGAGGGCAUGGAAUCCUGAAGGCAAAGGGUAUUCAAGUGUGUGUGUUUUGGGGUUGGAGAGUGAGAGAAUCAUUAUUGUUACGUGAAUUAUUCUGAA
rnacentral:lncRNA from 1 species